UGACCGUCCAUAAAUUUCCAUUUUUUGCCUCUUUUUUGGUCACACUCCAGUGGUCUCGAUUGGUGGUGUUACGCGCAUCAUCAACUGAACAUUGCCAUGAUGUGAAUACUGUUGAUACUGAUGAUGUGGAUGCUGAUGAUGUGGAUGAUGAUAAUGUUGAUGCCUCCGGACUGAAAUAGCUGGACAGUGCCAUGAUGUGGAAACUGUUCUUACUGAUGAUGUGGAUACUGUUCAUACUGAUGAUAUAAUGCUGAUAAUGUGGAUAUUGAUGAUGUAGAUGCCCCGGAUGAUCAACCAGGGACUAAUAGAGCUGGACAGUGCCAUGAUGUGAAUACUGUUGAUACUGAUGAUGGGGAUGCUGAUGAUGUGGAUGUUGAUGAUGUGGAUGCCUCCGUUGAUCAACCAGGGACUGAAAUAG